rnacentral:rRNA from 1 species
UACGGAGGGUGCGAGCGUUGUUCGGAAUCACUGGGCGUAAAGCGCGUGUAGGCGGCCCAUUAAGUCUGAUGUGAAAGCCCGGGGCUCACCCCCGGAAGUGCAUUGGAAACUGAUGGGCUCGAGUCCCGGAGAGGAGGGUGGAAUUCCUGGUGUAGCGGUGAAAUGCGUAGAGAUGUGGAGGAACACCGAUGGCGAAGGCAGCCUUCUGGGCCAACACUGACGCUCAUGCACGAAAGCGUGGGGAGCAAACAGG